rnacentral:rRNA from 1 species
AACGCGAAGAACCUUACCUGGGUUUGACAUCCUCUGACAUCCGUAGAGAUACGGCUUCUGUAGCAAUACAGCAGAGAGACAGGUGCUGCAUGGCUGUCGUCAGCUCGUGUGGUGACAUGUUGGGUUAAGUCCCGCAACGAGCGCAACCCUUGUCCUUAGUUGCCAGCAUUAAGUUGGGCUCUCUAAGGAGACUGCCGUGGUUAACACGGAGGAAGGUGGGGAUGACGUCAAGUCCUCAUGGCCUUUAUAUCCAGGGCGACACACGUGAUACAAUGGACGGUACAGAGGGAAGCGAAACCGCGAGGUGGAGCCAAUCUCAAAAAGCCGUUCUCAGUUCGGAUUGGAGUCUGCAAUUCGACUCCAUGAAGUUGGAAUCGCUAGUAAUCGCGGAUCAGCACGCCGCGGUGAAUACGUUCCCGGGCCUUGUA